CUAUAACUGAGUGCAACCCUGUAUUUGGUGAGUGGUGAAUUAUUAGAAACUGCUGCUAUUUGUCUGUGACAGAAAUAAUUAAAUAAAAUAUUUAUUAAAAAACAUUUAAAUAUAAAAAAUCAGAGUAUAAACCGUAAAACAACGUUUGGAAACAUCGCGAAGUAUUGGAAGCCGUGGGAUUACCAAAUUCUACUAUAUUGAAAUAUUUCGAAGAUUUGUUAAACAAAAUUCAUUUAGCUGAGGUCUGAAGUAUCGCCGCCUUGAGGAGGAUCAAA
rnacentral:misc_RNA from 1 species